UACGUAGGGUCCGAGCGUUGUCCGGAAUUACUGGGCGUAAAGAGCUCGUAGGUGGUUUGUCGCGUUGUUCGUGAAAUCUCACGGCUUAACUGUGAGCGUGCGGGCGAUACGGGCAGACUUGAGUACUGCAGGGGAGACUGGAAUUCCUGGUGUAGCGGUGGAAUGCGCAGAUAUCAGGAGGAACACCGGUGGCGAAGGCGGGUCUCUGGGCAGUAACUGACGCUGAGGAGCGAAAGCGUGGGGAGCGAACAGG
rnacentral:rRNA from 1 species